rnacentral:rRNA from 1 species
AGUCGAACGAUGAAGCUUCUAGCUUGCUAGAAGUGGAUUAGUGGCGCACGGGUGAGUAAGGUAUAGUUAAUCUGCCCUACACAAGAGGACAACAGUUGGAAACGACUGCUAAUACUCUAUACUCCUGCUUAACACAAGUUGAGUAGGGAAAGUUUUUCGGUGUAGGAUGAGACUAUAUAGUAUCAGCUAGUUGGUAAGGUAAUGGCUUACCAAGGCUAUGACGCUUAACUGGUCUGAGAGGAUGAUCAGUCACACUGGAACUGAGACACGGUCCAGACUCCUACGGGAGGCAGCAGUAGGGAAUAUUGCGCAAUGGGGGAAACCCUGACGCAGCAACGCCGCGUGGAGGAUGACACUUUUCGGAGCGUAAACUCCUUUUCUUAGGGAAGAAUUCUGACGGUACCUAAGGAAUAAGCACCGGCUAACUCCGUGCCAGCAGCCGCGGUAAUACGGAGGGUGCAAGCGUUACUCGGAAUCACUGGGCGUAAAGGGCGCGUAGGCGGAUUAUCAAGUCUCUUGUGAAAUCUAAUGGCUUAACCAUUAAACUGCUUGGGAAACUGAUAGUCUAGAGUGAGGGAGAGGCAGAUGGAAUUGGUGGUGUAGGGGUAAAAUCCGUAGAUAUCACCAAGAAUACCCAUUGGCGAAAGGCGGAUUCUGCUGGAACUUCAACUGACGCUUAAGGGGCGAAAGCGGUGGGGGGAGCAAACAGGAUUAGAAUACCCUGGGUAGUCCACCGCCCCUAAACGAUGUACACACUAGUUGUUUGGGGAUGCUAGUCAUCCUCAGUAAUGCAGCUUAACGGCAUUAAGUGGUACCGGCCUGGGGGG